GAGGAUCUGUUGGCUGUUCAGAAAAGUGGUAUAAACAACAUUAUAGCAGACGAACUUAGCAGAUCAAGAUGGUCCCAGAACGAAUGGUCCCUAAAUCCUGUGAUAUUUUCUCAGAUUGUGGUGAAAUUCGGGAUGCCGGUCAUAGACAUUAUGGUAAGAAGAAAGAAUGCAAAGGUAGUAAGAUUUUCCUCCCUCUUCAAGGC